rnacentral:rRNA from 1 species
GACGAACGCUGGCGGCGUGCCUAAUACAUGCAAGUCGAACGGACAGGCACUGCUUUUGUGGGGUGUUCGAGUGGCGGACGGGUGAGUAACACGUGGGUAACCUGCCCUUGAGUUUGGGAUAACUUCAGGAAACUGGAGCUAAUACCGGAUAAUACUUUUUGAUUCAUGGUGGGGGGUGGAAAGUUUCUGUGGUUGGGGAUGGACUCGCGGCUUCUCAGCGUGUUGGGGGGGUAGUGGCUUACCAAGUCUUUGACGGGUAGGCGGCAUGCGGGCGUGAACGGCGACCUGGCGACUGAGAUACGCCGCAGUCUCCUACGUGAGGCAGUAGUCGAGAAUAUUACGGAACAAGCGGGAGCGUGAGACAGCAACUCUGCGUUCGUGAUAACGUGUUGCGAGGUGUAAACCGCUAUCGCCGUAGAUGAAGCGUGAGUGACGGUAAUUAGUAAAGAAGCAACGGCUAACUACGUG